rnacentral:lncRNA from 1 species
UCUAAACCAAGUACAUGAGUGCCGCACUCCCUUACCGGGUCAACAAACGAGUAGAUCCGAUAGAGGAUAUACCGUUCGAUUUUUAUGCCGAUAGGCUGUAUCCACAUCUAGAUAUUUCAAGCGAGCAGUGCCGGACCCUCUCCACGUGCAAUCGCCCGUGACCCCACGACCUUCCCUCAUCUCCACUCCGAUGGUGGCGGCGCCCCAUCCCGUCCUCGACUCCAUCGGUGACGGUGCCCAGCCAACAUCGAGCGACGCUCGCCUUCCUCGACUCUAUCAGCGACGGUGCCGAGCCAGCAUCAGCAGGGCCCCUCCGUGCCCCCUUCUCAUCGGCGCAUGGUCAUCCCAUCGAUCAAUCCGUAGGCAAAUGUCUUGCUUAUCCGUUUUGCUUCUUUCCUGAUCAAGAGCACCUAGCCCCACGUCUGUGUUGCUCACCUGUGUUGCGUGUUUCCAUCUCAAUUCACUAAUCCAUCUUGUUGUGAUCGAUUUGUUAAUUCCAAUUUAAUAUCCUUGCAUAUUGCAGAUCCGAAUAGGAGGCUUAUCAUUGCAGAUCUGGUUGAUUUUAUUGAUCUUGUUGCUAUCACAUUUCUAAUUUUCUACUUAAAUCAAAUCAUCUUCUCUUGGAUACAAGGCAUUCUCUCAUUGUCUCUGGCAGCGGCGGCGAUCUUUGCUUCUCUGCACUUGUUGUCGACGGUCACAUGGAAUUAAAAAGAGUAUUUCUAGAUAUGUUUCAAAGAAGUGUAUGUUUAGAUACUAAAAAAUGUUAGAUACUUUUUGAAAGAAGAGUAUGUUUAGAUACUUUAUCACAGAAGAAUAUCAUCGAUACUCUUUUUAUAAAUUAUAAGGUGUUAUUCAAUACUUUCUUGAAUAUGGUUGUAUCACUGAAUAUAUUUUUAGAUUAUAGUAGUGGCAAUACAUUGUUCUAUAUUAUUUUUAACAAAGUUUGUUCUAUAUUUUCUCGGUACAAAUAUAUUUCAUACUACUACUACAGUAUUAUAAUUUUUUUCUCAGAGUACUCGGCGAUGAUGUAUGUUUGUAUACAUACUCUCGGCGAUGAUGUAUGUAUGUAUACAUACUCCCAAAUAAUU